rnacentral:lncRNA from 1 species
AACACUUGACAAAUAAAAACCGAAUGUUUUAGUUUCCGGACUUGGUACCACAAUCCCAAAGAAUGUCUUAAAAGGAUUGCAUAUGUACCUAAGUAGUCUCAUCCUCACAAUCUUCCUAAUGAUAAUGUAUCAUUGGAAGAACAUGUUAGAAAAGUCUAUCAUGAGGAGAACAACACAAACAACCAAUGCUUAUUCCUUCGUUAUAUGAACAAAGGAACUUACGAAGAUUAGCAUAAAUGACAAGGACACUUUUAGUGUUAUUAGUUCUUCACUUACAAAUUGUUGUAUGAAGAAAUAAUAGUUGCUUUGAACAACCCUUAGUCAAUGCAAACACUUAGUGCUUGUUUCUUUGUUAAAUGAACAAAGAACUUAAGAAGAAAGCACAAAGGCAUGGACACUUAAUAUGCCAUCAUUCUUCACUUACAAAUUGUUGUAUGAAGAAAUGAGAGUUGCUUUGAACAACUCUUGAAAGUUUGUAGUUAUGUUUAGAACAUAAUGGUUGGUUGACAAAAAUAGUCCAUUAACAUGGGCUUAUGAUGAUUUUGAAUCAUUAAGUGUUGAAGUGAUAAACCACUUAAUGAGACGGAAACUAGGCAAGGACUUCACCUUUGUGUCCCUAUCCUUAUGGUUCACUAAGUUUAUUGUAAACUAUGUAGUGAACAAUAACCACAUGCUCUCCAAAAAUGUUUGAUGUGUAUAACACAAUUGAAAUAAGUUUCAAGAGAGAUAAUGGGAGUUUAGGGACCUUGACUAUGGUAGUCAAAGGAGAAGUCAAAUGAAGAAAGCGAAAUAACUCCAAGGGAACAAACUUUCUUUAUGAAAGGAUGGACAUUGGAAGGGGUAUUUGCAAGAAAUGUCUUGCAAAUGUCAAGAACACACCUUCGAAGGUGUUGUAAAUUGUUCUUGAAAAGUUCAAAACAGUUGGUUCUUCUACUUGAAUGCUUGAUUCCGUAUUAGUAACUAUGUUUUACAAUCGUUGUAAAAGUGUGACUAAUAAGAAGUAGAAGAUAUAUGAGAGAAGGAAAAGGUGCUUCACAUUCGGAACGUGAAUAAAAUAUAGAUCUCUGCGAAAGCAGAUAGUACUUACUUCCUCAUAUGAACUACCAAAGAAAUUGGAAAAAACAAAGAUUGUCUUUACAUUCCAAUUUUAAGGAAUUUAAUUCCGUCACUAUAGUAGAGAUGGAUGAAUGUUUUGUUUGACAAAACAUUGUUCUUUAUUAAUCAAUGAUUGGAUUAUAGUAAUCUAAUUGAUUGUCUCUAUAGUAGAGAUAAUAUGGUGGUGUUAACUGUUUAGAAUAAAAUGAUGCUUAAAACCCAAAAAGGUUGCAAGGUAGUGACUAAUCCCAACUAAGUUGUGAUUCCUCUAAAAACAUAAGUUAUGAGUUGGUGAAAGAUGGAUGCUUUGGAUUGUUAGAUCCGGAUCCAAUACCUUCUUGUUAAAAUUGUAUAGAGGCGAAAUGUUCGAAU